GAAAUGUUAUGGUCAGACGAAGGAUUUAAAUCGUGCGUUAAGCGUAAAACUCAGUACAGCCUUAACUAUGGAACUAUUGCGAUGCCGCCAUAAUUUAAAGCUCUGGACAUUAACUUCUCCUGCCUGGCAGACUGAGUUCAAGAAAUAAUGUAUUCACUAUUCUCAUUGUUCCUGACCGCAUCAAAAGUUCAGAAGUCUAUAACUUCAUAAUCUGACAGCUAACAGGUACAUUAUAGGACAAUUCCAGCUGACUGGAGGACAAUAAUUCUGAUUUAGGGCAACUUGUGAGAUUUCUGUCACUAAAGACAUGAUGAAGCAACUUUCCAAAGGAUGUGCUGGCACAACGGAUCCUAUAUUUGAUCUCCACAUCAAGAUUGGCUAUCUGGGACAGGUGGCUCUCAAGAAGGAAUCAUCUCCUGCUCAUUAAGAAGGCUAUCAAAAUCAAAUGGGCCAUUGUAGGACAUCACAACAAGACUG